UACUGGAUGCUAAAUGGCACCGAGUCUCCUUUUUGUUGAACAAGCGAUACCCCCGCUUACCUCCCACCAAAACAGGAAAAUUGCUAAUUGUAUUCAAAAAUAUAAUCGAAGUGCACGUGCCCGUUGAACAAUUUAAAGUUAUUUCUAUCUGUAUUAUUGACAUUUUCAACAGUAUUUAUUUUGAGUUAUCGUUUGUAGGUGGUAAGUUUUGAGUAAAUUAGUACAACAUUUUGAGUUAAGACCGUACUGCUGGUAAGGAAAACAAUGAGACAUGGUCGGUAAAUAUGAUAGAAGAAGAAAGAUAACUUGAAGAAAACGUCAACUAGUUUUGAAGUUUCAUCUCAAGAAACUCGUCCCAUCUUAUCAGUGGCUGAUACAUUGCCUAUCUCCAGCAUUUCCAAGCAACAAAAUUCUGGCACACCAAAUUAUUAUAUUUCACCAAUUCAGAGCGAUAAAAGUUAUAUUGAUGACUCCGACGAGGAUCCCAAUUUUCAAUUGGCUCGCAAAAGUAAACAUUCACCUAAGAUUAUGUCGGAAAAUUAUAAUGAGCAAGUAUACCCUCAAGAUGCUGUAGUUUCUGAAACUAUUACCGUAAUCUCAGUGCUCAUGCGCUCAUAAUGGGAGUAAAUCAAUUAGGCAAAGCAAUAUUCGAAAUCCAGAUAUUUUUAGCCCCAUGAGGGGCUCUACAUAUCGUGGGGCGAGUACUACAACUAGGUCACUGCAAAUUUGGCGAAAUCUGGACAUUCUACAGGAGUUAUUUAGAGUUUUCAAAACUAUAUAAGUUGAUGAUCAGAAAAAAAUUUCUAUCUACAACUAGAUAAGUUCAUUCAUCUAGUUGUUAGACUUAGAAGAACUGCAAAAUUGAAGCAACAAUUGGACAACUCAACAUGUCUAGUUAUACAACUACAAGUCUGGGGCUUGAUUUUUGAAUCAACAGGUGGCUCUAGUUGUCUUGGUAAGGUUAAGAUAAGGCCUCUACAUUUUUGAGUUAGUUGGAUAUAAACAGUGUGUGAUAUUUAGUGCUUUAUUCUUAUAAAAUUCAAAGAUGGCUUCAAGAACAAAACAUAUAUUGCAUUCAUGCGACAUCAACAUAAGUAAGUAUAAUUAUAUUACUCAAUCCAUUAAAAUACCGUUACCGACUCAAUAAUUUACUUAGGUAAUUGUGGAUACUAACUCAUUUUGUCCAUAUCAAAUAGUGUUCAAAAGGAUUUUUAGACUAGAACUUACAGAAAAAUGAAAUAGAAUGCCGAAAUUAAAAUUAUCGGAAUAGUUGUUCAGUUAGCGUACCUUUAUCGGUUUUUCAAUUAUUUCAUGAACACGAAUUUAUUCCGGACAUUAUUGAAUCAUCAGUUCAGAACAAUUGGAUUUACAUACACUUUAAACGUACGUAAGUUCAAACGUAUUUGAAAAAGACGAAAAUAGCGCAGCCAACAGGUUAUUCCGUGCAAUGAAUUCUACCGGGUAAGCGUAGAAAGCAAUGAAGGACGCCGUAUUAAAAUUAAAUUGUAAUGUAUUUACAAUUCAAUACUGUAAUUUUAACUUUUUUUUUCUUCUCACAUCUUAGAAAAAUUUGAUUUUCAGUUGAGACCUGUUGAUUUUGGUUGAUAUCUGAUCAUCGCUCACUUAGUUAUAUCAGAAAAUUCGUGAUGCAGGUGUCGGGUUGAAGUACCUCUAAGUAGUUUAUUUUCAAUUUACGUUUUAUAUAUUUUAUCAUUCGAGUUUUUAUGCAAAAAAGUUCUAUCUACUAUUCAUGUAAGCCUUGCCUGUACCGGUUUUAAAUUACAUUAGGAAAAUAUAUAAUAAUUUUACAAUUUACAUUCAUUUAUAUUGAUGUAGGUAACGACUGCAGAUUGAAAUCAGAAGCUAGAUCAUGUAGUCCAUCCUCUCGUCAUCACGCAAUACCUGAAGAUCGCAGAGUAAAUAAUCUUACUUCAGAGAUUUAGAAAUAUACAAUAUACAACCAGAGGAAAUGGGGAAUUUGAUUGGUACAUCCUACAAUAGCAAUUCCAUCCCUGGGCCCAGUCAUUCGGCUGAAACCAACACUAGAAGACCAGGUGAGAAACUCGACACUCUCAACUUCAAUUAUGAUUCGGAUGAACUUGAAUUUUGCCCAGAGGAAAUGUCUACAGACGAAACCUCUGUAAGUGACACUGAAUACCUGCAUACACAUUGGAUCCCAAGAACAGCAGUGGACGUCUUAAUGGAAUGAAGGUGUUUCCAACGUCAACGGCGAAAUUUCGAAAACAGCCUAGAUGUCAAAGCAAAUGGGCAAGGACUUUAAGCAAGGAAAAGAGGGCUAGUGGCGAAUCCUAUGUAACUUCACGGAAGAAAGUCAUUCCUGCUAUCCAAAUGAAACCACCGUGCUAAAACUGCAGUGUGCAAGACAAUGUUCCUCAAUACCUUGGACAUUAAAAAAGGUGUUGUAGACAUAGCGAUGAAAAAGGGAACUACCGAAAUUACUAAUCAAGAAGAUAAGAGAGGGAGACACAUCAAGAAGCAAAUUCCACCAGCUCCACAAAAUGUAAUGUCGUCUUAUUACUGUAGUACAACCACCAAGCGCAUUUACCUGGAUCAAAGUCUGAACAUUAACUAAAUGUAUAACAAGUACAUUCAGGUUUGGAGUGAAAAUGGUGAACCUAAGGCAACUGUACCUUUUUAUAGAAAAAUGUUCAACGAGUGCUACAAUUUGGGAUUUCAUCAUCAAAAAAAUGAUCAGUGCUGAGUUUGCUCUCAUUACACCAAUGCUUCAUCAAACGAGAAAGAAACCUUGAAGGAAGAGUAUACGAAGCACUUACAGCUAAAAGACAGAUCUCGUGCCGAAAAAAAGGAAAGACAAGAAGAAGGACAAAAUUUGAAUGGUGAAUUUGUAUGUGCUAAUUUCGAUUUGCAGCAAGUUCUCCUCGUACCAUCUGAUCUAGCCAACAAUGCUCUAUUUUAUAAACGAAGACUCACUACUUACAAUUUUACCAUAUACAUACACAUACUGAACUCAGCAAAGUUCGAUCUUCAUAUCGAAAAUUGCAAUGAUUACAAGCUUUUUAUUAAGGAAAAUCUUACGAAUCGGAAGAAGGGUGGAGACUCAGAGGAAGGGCGGUGUCAAAAAAUGAGCUGGAUGCGUUUCAAAAAAUCCGAACCGUAUAGGAUGAAAUCAGGGAGAAUCUUGAUGAACCCUUCAAAAUCUUAGAUUUUAAUAAAAGAAGUCGUUGGCACACAUUGUUGCAGCUGAAGCAGCGGUAUGACCAACCAAUCCCCAUCACCUCCUUGAAACACUGGUAUCUGAUUUUUUUGUUCUCGAUAAAGCCGCCAGCACUCUGCCUCAUGAUGUCGGUGAGCCCGAAGCGAUUUUGAUUAUUCUUGCAACGAAAAUCUAUUAUCUAUAUUAUUUUUAACUGAAUUUUUAAUUGAAUAACAUCGUUUGAUUUUAUCGAUUUUGAUUUGUUGCUUGUAAAAAAUAUUAUUAACAUUAUUGUCAAUAAAAACUUAUAAUACUAAAUAAA